UACGUAGGGGGCAAGCGUUGUCCGGAUUUAUUGGGCGUAAAGAGCGUGUAGGCGGCCAGGUAGGUCAGCUGUGAAAACUCGAGGCUCAACCUCGAGACGUCGGUUGAAACCACCUGGCUAGAGUCCGGAAGAGGAGAGUGGAAUUCCUGGUGUAGCGGUGAAAUGCGCAGAUAUCAGGAAGAACACCCAGUGGCGAAGGCGGCUCUCUGGGACGGUACUGACGCUGAGACGCGAAAGCGUGGGGAGCGAACAGG
rnacentral:rRNA from 1 species